GAUGGUUGGAGAGUGGCUUCCCUAACAGAUGAAAUUAAGAGAGCUACCGGGACUCCCCGCACUCGAACCAUUACGAUUCGAACCAAGAUAUCUGCACAAGUGGAUCAGACUCAGUUGCACCCAAGCCAACCCUCCAUUCUUUGGAUAUAAUUCUCCACAUGUUUCCAUAAUGCAAACAGACAAUUGAGAAAUACGUACAUGCACACGUACAAUGCCAGGGUCCCAGCCAGCCUCUGCUAUUCCAGAGAAUUCCAGAGAAGGGGAAGACAGUGAUCCCGGAGGAAGCGGAGUUGUGUGUUUGAAUGCCAUGGUGUUUGACGUAUCAGGGGUUGCGUGGGUGUGGAGAGUCUUAACAAACAGGCAUAAAUAAAGCCCAUGAGGAUCUGUGAGGUCA